GGUCCCUUCUCCUGGCUAUGUGUUGUUCAACAGGUUACUUCAUCUCUCUGAGCCCUGGCUUCCUAGAAGGAUGGCAGUAACAGUGCCUCCCUCUUGCAGGUGUGAUGGCUGAAAGAGAAAGUACAUAUCAAGCCUUCUGCCCCCAGCACUGGCCCACCACCCUGGCUGCUCAUUACAUCAAACGUCUCCACCUCCCUGAAGCCUGAGUGAACCCUGCCCCAGCCAGCUGAACUCCCUCCUCUGGGCUCGCCGGCUUGGCCAGUCUGCCUGCUUUCUGGACCUCAACACUCACUCCUCCUUGUUCGAAGAUUAGUUAUUUCCAGGUCUGUCACCCACCUCAUCCCACCCGGACUGUGAUUCCAUGAGGGACCGUACCAUGCUGGCGCACAGCCUGGAAUAAAGCUAGCACCA
rnacentral:lncRNA from 1 species